CCCGGACCCAAGGGCUGUGCCCCUUCUCUCAGCCAAGCCUUGUGUCUCUAGGCACAAGGACAGCUCAAGCUUUAGCGUCUGGCCCCACCCAACUCCUUCCUCCCGGGCGUGUGUGCGUUAGGUAGAGGGGGCCUCUGGCCACUCAGGAGUUAAAAUGGCAGCGGGACUGGAGGGGGUUGGCGUGGCAUGCAGACUGGGAGGAGGCGACCGGAGUGGGCUGGGGAGGUUGGGAGAGCGGCGGAGAAGCGAGUGAGGAGGGCGAGCGCGAAGCCAGGAGGAGGGGCGCGCGUGGAGGGGGUGCCGGGCGCCGCGAGGGCCUGUUCCGGGCACCUGCAAACGCGCGGCGCUCUUAAGGAGAGCCCGGCUCUCGCCCGCCAGCCUCUGGCCACGACGCGCCCAGGGCGCGGAGAGGGGGUGGGGACGGAUUGGAAUUCUGCCAUCGCCCUCACCGGCUGGGCCCCGGAGCCGCUCCCAGGAUAACUCCACGUUAGGGAGGGCGCCCGCCGAGCCUCCCGGGCCUGUGCAGACGGCGCGCGCGGCGGGAGGUCGCGGACCAGCGUUCCCAGCCCGACCCCGGGCGAAAGGCAAGCAGAGCGCGGCGGCGCGGGUGGCGGACUGCGGACGGCGCCCACCGGGUCCUCGGAGCCUGAGAAAGAGGGGCACAUCCGCGGUACCCCAGCACAACCCCCCGGAAGACGCAGAGGCUGAGCCUGAGGCUUUUGUCCUUAUGGCUACAAUCCAGAGGAAGUGGAAUCAGUUGGCAUUGGGUCAGAAUUCGCGGUCCCUAGCCACCUUCCCUUGGGCAUCUUACUUAACCGCUCUGAGCCUCAGUUUCCUCACCUAUAAAUCUGAGUUAAUAACAUCCACUUCCUAGGGUUGUUAAUAAUAAUAAGAGCUAACAUUAUUGAGUGCUUAUGAAGUGCCUGAAGCUUCACUGCAUUUCAUCCACAUCUCAUUUCAUCCACAUAACGCUGUGAAGUAGGUAUUAUUUUCCCCCAUUUUGCAGUUGAGGACACUAAAGCCUGGAGGCCAUACACAGCCAGCAAGUGGCAGAGCCAGAAUUCAGCCCCCAAAUCUCGCUGACUCUGGAGCCCUGAUUCUCAACUACCACAUUAAAUGAGCUAAUCUGUGUAAAGUACCUGCUACAAAGUAGAAGCUCAAUAAACGUUAGUUCCUUUUCUCA
rnacentral:lncRNA from 1 species